rnacentral:lncRNA from 1 species
GUUUGUAGUUUUUCAAACCCAUUCCUAGUUUCAACAUGACGACCACUCACAAUGCAGGUAUAAGGCCUUAAAGGUUGAACUUAGAGGUACAAAGGACUUAGAUGUACCCUGGUUAAUGAUUAGUUAUUUAUAUGACAAACAUUCAACUAUAAUAGAGUGCUCAACAAAGUAAGAUAUGUUGCAGUCAUAUUUAGAAUAGGAAUGUGAUUGUGUAAAUCCUAGAGAAUAUGGGAAAGUAUCUUAUAUUCCUAUUAGGAUUAGAUUACCUAUUAAAUAUUGUAAUCCUAAAGAGAAAGGUUUUACCCUUCCUACUACUAUAAAUAAAGGCACAAUGGGGUGAAUCAAACACACCUCACAUUUAAAUCAAUCUCUCUUCUCUCUCAAUAUUGCCGAACCACCCUUCUCUCUCUAAACCCUAGAUCGUUCAAUCAAAUAGGCCUACAACACAUUAUCAGUACGCUCUUGCCAGAAGCUGAGGAAUUGAAACAUCGUUGGAGGAGGCUAUCAUCCACCAAAUUCAAAGGCUUAUUCGUUUUCUGCUAAUCAGGUACGCUUAAAAUAAAAGAA